CAAAUAAACACUGUAAAACAACCACAGAACGAGUCACAAAAACAAGUUUCUGCCCAAUUCUUAUUUUUAAUCAUUGGUUUAUAUUGAAUAGGUGUUCAAUCCUGGUCGGGGUAAAGGCAGAUCCGGGAUCAUUGGGUGCGACUUCCUGGAUGGGAAGCACCAGGAGAUGGAAAGCAGAUGUUCUUCACCCGUUUGUGUAGGUUUGUGCACAUGUGACAACCAUGUUCUUCUCAGCAGAGCAUGAAAAAGGUGACACGCAGAGGAUGAGGCAGGUGGAGAGCUGUUAAAGAUAUGAAGGAUACGAGUGCUAUCACGGAAUUAGAAACGACAGCGUCAGGCUCUCUGGGUUGUUGUGCUGCCUCAUGCUUUUACUUGUAAUACAGGGUAUUGUUCACGGCUGCUCGUCUCUCUCUUCUUCCGUUAAAGAGGAGAUGCGUUUCCGACACUCAACUUACUAUUUUGGGGGAAAACGGUGGCAGGGUCUCAUUUUCCGCUCUCCGUUUCACUACGGGUCACCACUCGGGGUGUGUGGUAUACCAAGCUAGGCGUAUAUAGGCGGAAUUAGAUCGGGAUAGAGACGUUAUGUAAAGGACCAUCUGCAGGAGGGAUGAAAGAGGAAUAAAAGACAGGGAAGAGACAGGCUUUUACAGCCUUGUCUAAUUCAAACACCUACACACCAGCAGGGAGGUAUGUGUCUGCCGAAAGGUUGGCGUGAUUAUAAGCAAAAGGAGCAAAAAUAUUAAACCGAUUACAGACACUCUGAAACUAACAAUGAUCUAUUACAAGCACUUUGUGACCGUAACAACGUUAAGCCCCUUUGUAACGCGAUUCCAAAAUAAAACGAGCGAAAGGCUCGUUCUCCGGUCUGUCGAUCAACUAUUGCUCCAAUUUUGGCUCUGCCUUGCCUGGCUGGUACAGGCCUCUGGCUCCUCCCAGCUGCCUGUCUAAGUGUCCCUCUGGCUCUCUGCCCAACAGGCAGCAGGAAAUCAGAGCUCUCUGUCCAACGUCACCGAGCUGAAAUACUCCAGCGUUCAACUAAUCUGGCCGUACUCAUCCGUCCCCUCUUUUUCUCUGUCAAUCAUCCGUUCACUUUGGCUGCUUUGAGUCCUAAUGAUGCGUCUUCCCUCAUUCCCAGUCUGCCAUCAUUAUCCUCCCUACUGCUGUGUUAUUCUCAUACUCCACGAGCAUUCCCUGAUUCUUAUUCAGCUCAUCUGUGCUUUUCUGCCGUCUUUUCUUUUUUCUUCUCACGGCUGAGAUCUCUCCUCUCACGUCGCGCAUUCACGCCGCGAGGCGCACCGACUCACUCUUAUGUGUUUGCUUGUGAAUGGAGAGAAGACCAGGUUUUGUGGAGCAGAGGCUUUCACUAAAUCUUACAUCACAUGGACUUCUUGAAAGAAAAGCUGAGCGCAUUCAUAAUGUCAAGGCUGAAGAGCUGAAUGAAAAGCGAGGGGGAAAAACUGAAUACAUUCGAUUUGAUCUAUACACGUCGCCUAUACACUGCAAAGAGAAAAGCUAUACAAAUGGAAGCUGAACCACUGAAUUGGACACGUUUACCCAGAAACAGGUCAACACGCUUCUGUACUAAAAGCUCUUCAGUCUUCAGAGUGAUGGACAAGAUUUUACAUGGUCAAAACUCAUCUUCGGGAAAAGGCAAAAAUGGAGGACUUGAAUUUUUAUAGUUUUACUUAAAAUCUUCCUGAAUAGUGUAGAAAAGAAUCGUCUUACAAGGGUGUCUGACAUUUUUCACUUCCUAGAGAUGACCAGACAACUUGUGUAGCAUCCCAUGUUUUAGAUCGAUCAUCCUACAUUGUACAAGUGGAAGCCCAUUCUCUCAUGUCUGGGAUUUGCCCUUGUCCACCCUUCAUUUCUUCCCUGCUUUAAUCUUCAAGGACACUGCGGCUCGUUCUUGUGCUUUGCUUUUAAAUGGAGAUCACCAAUAGGAAAGGAGUGUCCUGUAGACAAUGAUCCCACCGAAUGACAAAAGAACGUGCGGACAUUUCUGAAGGACAUCCGAGUGAGCCUGGUUAAAAUAUGCCAAAGCUGCAAUUUUGAAAUGUGAUGUCUGAACCACGUCUGGACUUUUGACAAAGAGAAACUAAUCCUGAACGUGCUGCCUGAUUUGCUCUCAACACAAUGAAACUGGGCACUACCUGCAAGUAGCGUGAGAACACUCGGCCUCAGGCAUUUACAUCCUCUGUACUGGCUAUGGAGGAAAAACACCGCCGGCCAGUUAUAACCGGUCUUGAGGUCAAAAAUAACUUGGUCAAUAUUUUCCAUUUUCCACCUUGUUUGUUGUUAUUCCAAACCGACAUUCAUUUUUCUCACCACCAGAUGGCAGACGAGGGUAAUAGUACAGGGUGUCCCGAAAUUCUUCCUAUAUUAUUGUGGAAAUAAACACUUUUUCCAUAAAA